rnacentral:tRNA from 1 species
AAGACACUAGUAAAAUUAGUCAUUACACUGCUUUGUCAAGGCAGAGUUGUGGGUGGGACUCCCGCGUGUCUUG